CUUGGUCAUUUAGAGGAAGUAAAAGUCGUAACAAGGUUUCCGUAGGUGAACCUGCGGAAGGAUCAUUACUGUGAAUGCCGGUCGCGCUCCGCGCCCUGCUCCGCCCCUUGCGGGUGUCGAGCGGUGCGGGUGCGGUCCGUGCGCGUCCCACUUAUCAAACCACUUGUGCACCUGUCCGGGGGUGAAACCCCGUAUACACAAACAACUGAAAUGAAAUGAACCUUUUGGGGCGAUAUGCCUCUUAAACAUGUAACAACUUUCAACAACGGAUCUCUUGGCUCUCGCAUCGAUGAAGAACGCAGCGAAAUGCGAUAAGUAAUGUGAAUUGCAGAAUUCAGUGAAUCAUCGAAUCUUUGAACGCACCUUGCGCCCGCUGGUAUUCCGGCGGGCAUGCCCGUUUGAGUGUCUUGAAACCAUCAACCCCCCGCCUUUGCGGGCGCGGGGGUUGGACGUGGGGGACUUGCUGCGCGCGAGCGCGGCUCCCCUUAAAUGCAUCGGUUGGGCUUGGGAUCGCCUGCGUGCCUCUGGCGUUGUAUCUACCUCGCUUGCUGGCCAUCGGCUUUCCCCUUGCGCGCUCGGCCUUGACCUUGCCUCUGGAGUGGCGGUCGACUUUGACGGUUUUUCCGUUCUUUCUUCUGACCUCAAAUCGGGUAGGACUACCCGCUGAACUUAAGCAUAUCAAUAAGCGGAGGAAAAGAAACUAACAAGGAUUCCCCUAGUAACUGCGAGUGAAGCGGGAAGAGCUCAAAUUUGAAAUCUGGCGGGUACCCCGUCCGAGUUGUAAUCUGGAGAAGCGUUUUCCGCGCUGGACCGUGUACAAGUCCCUUGGAACAGGGCGUCAUAGAGGGUGAGAAUCCCGUCUACGACACGGACCGCCAGUGCUGUGCGAUGCGCUCUCGAAGAGUCGAGUUGUUUGGGAAUGCAGCUCAAAACGGGUGGUAAAUUCCAUCUAAAGCUAAAUAUUGGCGAGAGACCGAUAGCGAACAAGUACCGUGAGGGAAAGAUGAAAAGCACUUUGGAAAGAGAGUGAAACAGUACGUGAAAUUGUUGAAAGGGAAACGCUUGAAGU
rnacentral:rRNA from 1 species